GCCCUUCAUCACUUGGUCAGUCCCUCUCCUCCUCAUCCUCAUCAGUCAUCAGUUCGAUUUCGCUCCCAGGCUCCCAGCCUCCUCCUCCUCGGCUCCUCCUCCUCUUCUAAACUUCUGCAAAUCUGCAGCUCUGGCCUCUAGGCUCUGGAAUUCUCGGCUUCUCCAAGACAUCAACAUCAAUUUGAGGCAAUGAUUCAAUGUGAAGAUUUCAUGGAUUGAACUCAUUGAAGAAUGAAGAUUUCAUGGAUUGAACUCAUCUUCGUCUCAUCGUCUCAUCGUCUGGUAUGCAAAUCUGCAAUUUAACAUUUUAUUGUUUAAUUGUUGUGGACUGUGGGUUAAAUGUGAUGUGAUUAAGUUGAUUAAUUGAUUAACUGUCAAGCGGUUCUACAAAUCUGAGUUGCUUUUUUCUUUUCCUUUCAUAGUUUCAUUGUGCAUCAGUGCAUCAGUGCAUAUAAUUG
rnacentral:lncRNA from 1 species